rnacentral:lncRNA from 1 species
AUCUGCUUUGGAGGUCAUCUUUGCCUUUUGCAGACACAUGUAGAAACAAAAUUAACUGCACACAAGAAUGAAGAAGGACUUAUUUUGUGGGUUCCCCUUUCCUAGUCGAGAGAUUAUUAAUGUGUCUGAAAAGAAAAAUCAGAAAAAAAAAACAAAACAAACAACUUUUAUCAUUAGAGAAUUUUGCCAGGAGGGCUGUGAUGAUUUAGCUGAAGACAGUUUAUUUUUUUAAAAAUGUAUUCGUAUAGUAGUUUUUCUG